GCCCCUCGGAUCCAAAACAAGCUAUUUUUAUUGCUGCCUGGUUUCAUGGCAUAAAGAUACCUGGUGGCACUGUUCAGUGAGACAUUAAAUAUGUACCAAUAAGUACAUAUUCUGCAGUUUCCAAAAGAAAUGAACACUAGAGGCAGUACAACUCUGACAUCUUUUAUUCCUUUUCCUUUGACGUCAAAACAAUAUUAAUAUGCUGGUGGUUUUGAACGUUAGUAUCACACAUAUCCAGCUACAUAUCUAUGGGUUUUCAUAAACGGUAGGUUUGUUUGGUGUCUAAAGGAGUAAAGAGAUGUACUUGAGAGGUGGGGAGCGCCAGUUUGAAUCCUGUGUAACCACAGUUAAAAACAAGGAUUGAAUUUAGGAUUGAAUUUAGUGUAGGGCAUAUUUCCAACAUAAUAGAGCAUUAACUUUUAGUGACAGUCCCUGGUUAUUUGAAUUCUGAACAGUUGCAAUACGCAAACACCGUAAUAAAAACACAGCAAUACGUACUUUUAAAUUUCAUAUUCUGGUAUCAAUUGAAUUUAAUUUACAAAAGACGCUAGUACCUAAAUAAUAAGCACGGAAUCAGAUACUAGUACGGGUUAUAGAUUGAAUGUUGAAACGGUUUGCCAUAGAGCAAAUCUUUGUAUCUAUGUUGCAUCAGUGUAAAUGCUUUUCAGCAGAAGAAAGCUGUUUUGAAGUCAAAUGCUCAAAAGCAGGUAGAAGGGUGUGGUGAACGGGUAUACUCUUACAUCGGGCCAUAUAGUGUAUCUCUAAAUAGAUCUAUGUGAUUUAGAUUCUAGGACAUUUACAUUGAAACAAUCACUUGUGUUGUGUCCUUAAGGAGUUCUUAAAGGGAUAUGGUGAUGGCAAAAGAAAUUAUAUUUCAAAGAAUUGCACUCUCUUGCAACACAUUUGUGGUAGAAAUAAUUUGGGGUGCUGUGAAAAAUAUCCCAAUGCUUAAUUUAGUCUACGCAAAGAUUUCAUGAACAAACAAAAGUUUCUUGAGGAACGCAAUAUUUUUGCAAGAGAAUGCAAAUGUUUGAGCAAAUUUUAGUGAACAAAACUACUCGAGGGAACGCAAUGUUUUAGUAAGAGACCGCAAGUGUUUGAGGGAACAAAGUUUCUUGAGGGAACGCGAUGCGUUUGUAAUAAAACGCAAAUAUUUGAGUGGACACAAAGCUUCUUGAGGGAAUGCAAUGCUUUUGUAAGAGAAUACAAAUGUUUGCGUGAGAAUGCAAAUUUUUGCUAUUUAACCCAAACAUUUUUAAUCUAUCGUGCCACCUUAGGGACUCAUUUGUGUCUACAUGAGUCUAAUAUUUACAGAAGAACUGUAAUAAUGUGCGGUGCUAGGAUCCCAAUGUGAAAGUGUGACACGAAAGUACUCUUCCAAUUUUUAUGUAAGAUGAUUAUGCCUUUCAUGCCAUACACAAUAACCGCAAUGUGUGUGAUUCAACCCUAAAGAUCUCAAAGUGUUUGGAGCACGGAUUUGAUUCGAAAUGGAUUUGUACAGAUGUUUGCCAGUGCUGCUAAGAACAACGAGUAUUGGCAUGAACUUCGCUGGGUGAACAAAACAGGAAGCCUGAGACCGCGUUACACAUUCCUCGAGAAACUUCACUGCACUGACAGCAAUGCAAGUGACAUUUCAAGGAAAAAUGUCCACUCAGUGGCCCUAAAACACAGGUUCAAUAAGUGAACCCUGGCACAUUUUUAUUACGCUGACAUAGGUACGUAUUACUGUGUUUUUAUUAUGUUGCUUAAGGUAUGUAUUGCAACGGUUCAGAACUAAAAAAUCCAAAUCCUACACCAAAUCCAACCCUAAACCUACCCGAUAGCGUUAGUGUUAACAAAUGAAAAAUUGAUAUCAAAAGGCAUUUGUGCCGUUUCAACUUUCUUUUACGCAGAUUUACACAGGAUUCAAACCUAAAACUAAACAGAGUAAACCUACCAUCUAUGAAAACCCAAACAUAUGAAGCUGGAUAUGUGUGACGCUAGCGUUCAAAAGCAUCAGUUUUU